rnacentral:rRNA from 1 species
UACGGGGGGAGCAAGCGUUGUUCGGAUUUACUGGGCGUAAAGGGCGCGUAGGCGGCGCAACAAGUCACUUGUGAAAUCUCCGGGCUUAACUCGGAACGGUCAAGUGAUACUGUUGUGCUAGAGUGCGGAAGGGGCAACUGGAAUUCUCGGUGUAGCGGUGAAAUGCGCAGAUAUCAGGAGGAACACCGGUGGCGAAGGCGCCACUCUGGGCCGGUACUGACGCUGAGGAGCGAAAGCGUGGGUAGCAAACAGG